GAUGAACGCUAGCGGCAGGCCUAACACAUGCAAGUCGAGGGGCAGCGAGGGUAGCAAUACCUGUCGGCGACCGGCGCACGGGUGAGUAACGCGUAUGCAAUCUACCCUUAACAGGGGGAUAGCCCGAAGAAAUUCGGAUUAAUACCCCAUAAGAUCAUACUUUCGCAUGUUAGUAUGAUUAAAACUCAGGUGGUUAAGGAUGAGCAUGCGUGACAUUAGCUAGUUGGUAAGGUAACGGCUUACCAAGGCGACGAUGUCUAGGGGGCCUGAGAGGGUAGCCCCCCACACUGGUACUGAGACACGGACCAGACUCCUACGGGAGGCAGCAGUGAGGAAUAUUGGUCAAUGGACGCAAGUCUGAACCAGCCAUGCCGCGUGCAGGAAGACGGCCCUAUGGGUUGUAAACUGCUUUUAUACGGGAAUAACCGCAGCUACGUGUAGUUGUUUGAAUGUACCGUAUGAAUAAGCAUCGGCUAACUCCGUGCCAGCAGCCGCGGUAAUACGGAGGAUGCAAGCGUUAUCCGGAUUUAUUGGGUUUAAAGGGUGCGUAGGCGGAAGAAUAAGUCAGUGGUGAAAUCCUGCAGCUUAACUGUAGAAUUGCCAUUGAUACUGUUU
rnacentral:rRNA from 1 species